GUUGUCGUGGCCGAGUGGUCAAGGCGAUGGACUUCAAUUCUUUUGGGAUCUUCCCGCGCAGGUUCGAAUCCUGCCGACAUCG
rnacentral:tRNA from 1 species